rnacentral:pre_miRNA from 7 species
UAUACGAGCCUCAUGACAGCCCAUAAUGGGGAGACACCUGGAACUGAAAGAACCUAGUGGGGAAACCCCCACUCAGCUCCCGAUUUGGCGUGCACCCAAGAAUCACGAAUAGAACA